AUCUUCGCAAACAAUAUAAUACAAAAACACCAUUCGGUUUCUAUGUGUAAUUUAGUUUUUUAAUUGAUACUUUUAAGAGGCCAAUGUGGGCAAAUUGGUCAUGCACAUCUGCAACAUGCCAAUGCAUCAUAGUUUAGAAACCGUCCACGAAAUCAUACAGAUAUAUCACGCACUACAGUGCUCAUUCAUAACGACAAAGUCAGCAUACACAGUCUUACACACCUAAUAGUGGUAUAUAUGUAAGUGAACAAGAUAUUGAUAUGGCUACGAAAACAACGGCAACAACUGAAAAUGCAUUGAAACACCCACAGCAACUGCAAUUAGCGGAGGUCGGUGGGGAUAGGCAGCAGCAGCCACAUACAAGCCAUAUUGUUAAUACUAUAGCGGAGGAGUCAUCGACUGUAAAUGGGUGCGUUACACAGAGAGCGGUAAAGGAGGAAAUUGACGAAGUGGAGCAACACACCCAAAAAGCAAAAAACAACAACGCAACCUACAGUUCUGAAAACGAAGCUGCAGAAGGAACACCGGCUACACCUGCUGUAACAGAGUUGUCUGUAAUGACCAUGAAUGCCGCACCAGAAUCUCGUUUGUGUGGAAAAAAAUUGUUAUUGUGCCGACGCUUUAAGGAUUGUGGUGGUAUUUUGCGUAACUUUAAUUCUUUGCCAUUAUUCGUUUACGCGACAUCACCAUCCACGCAUGCCAUUUCGGCCGAUGGCGUGGGCGUGGCCAAGGAGGCAGUAGCAGCGGCAGACGCUAUAGGUCAAAAGAAUAACGACUCCUAUGACCUUGCGCUUUGCCCCACGAACAAUAGCGGCUUUCCAACAACAACCGCAAUUAUUAGCGCCAUGGACUGUCUGCCCAUUAUGAAUGGCGGCAGUAGCAGUAAUAGCAGUGGCAUCGGCACACUCGGCCUUGGCGUGGCACAUCAUCACAUCUUGUCUAACGGCAAUAACAGCACAGCGGCCGCUAUCAUGAGCGGCAGCACACCAACAGUCACCGCCGUUGUCGGUUCAUAUCAACAGCAACUCGCUAACUUGCAUGCGCAUCACCCACAUCUGAAUUUGGUUGGCCAUCAUGCCGUAACACCGUACAGCAAUAAUUAUCCGCUGCAUCAUAGCAGCAGCCAUCAUCACAUACAGAGCGAGCAGACCAAGUCGCUGCAGGAGCUGCAGCAUGAAGUUGGCGCGCUGUUGGAAUUUCGCGAUCUGGUCAUCGAAACCUUUCCGGAUCUCAAGCAUAAAAUGGCAUCUAUGUCAUCGGCGACGGGUUCGUCCACAACGAACACAAGCGGUGGCGCUGCGUUGAGUAGCGCUUCGGCGACUGGCGCACACACACUCGCCGGUGGUAGUGGCGGCGGCAGUGGCGGCAUGUCGAAUGCGUCGUUAGUAUCAAGACGCGAGUGGGAACCUGGCAUACGCCUGAAGCGCAAAGUUUCGCAUAAAGAACCGUCCAUACCGGCAGCCAGCGGCGCCACAGCUGCGGGCGUUGCAGCCGGUGAACUAUCCUCAUCGUCGCUGACGCGAAGCCGCAGUAAUUCGCAUAGCGGUAAAAAAGAGCCAAAGAGCGGAGAGAAUAACAACGGCAGUGUUGUGCAGGAUUCCGGUUUCUCCACGGAGACAAGUUCAUCGAAGGAGGGACAUAGUGCUUCGUCUACAAAUGGUGCUAUGACGGGCCCCACUGCACUGAACCGUCUCUCCUGCCACGAAUCUGACGACGAGCUGCUCAAUUUGCUCGAUGUCAUACAUCGCAAAUCGAAUCGUUUACGCGAAGAAAUGGAUCAGNUGCAGCAGUAUGAGCGCCAGAAUUUGCGCGGCGCCAGCAGCAAUAUUAGCANCAACAACAAUAUGAAUCCGGCGGAUGAGUCGACAACAACAGUUGUUGCUGCAAGUGAAUUGNCUGCAGGUGCGACACGCAGUUCUUCGGUGUUGGCUAAGUCCAGCAGUAGCGGCAGCAGUAACAUUACUGUAAAUGGUGCCGGUCUCACACCGAAAACCUUCCGCGAACAUGUGGAACGCCUCAAUAAGGAGGAUAUCAAGCAGUUGCGUAAGGAACGCGAUCGUCUGCUCGAUAAGCUGGCCGAAAUGGAAGCGGAAACUUUAACCGGACGCAUUAAGGCGGCCAAAAUGAAUGAUCAAGUAGAGGAGCUGAUCAGCGUGAAAAAGGAUCUCGAGGAGCAGUUAAAGUUGGCGAUGGCGCAAAAACUUGAUUUAAGUGCGCGCGUGCAGCAGUUACAGCUGCAGCAACAGCAACCCUCACAACAGUUCCAGAGUAAGAGUUCUUCAAGUCAAUCCGAUUAUUCGAGUCAACGCAACUUCCUAUCCUCCGCCACCACGGUGCUCUCCACUGGCAGCGCUGCUUCGGCACAGUUUCCAGAAGCUGGUACUGCUGCUGCCGCCACCAACACUAGCACACUAACGAGCGCACAAUGUCGGCGUCAACAUACAUUCCAGCCAGUGGUGGUAAUCGAGCAGCAGCAGCACAAUCAGCGUCCGCUACACGCAGCGCCGCCCGAGGACAUACACAUUGCAUUCCAUCAAAGCGCAAGCAGUGAUAGUAAAAAGCAGCAAACCGAACAGAGCGAGCAACAGCAAUUGGGCCGUCUGGAUGGCGUUGUGAGCACACCGGGCGGACGCUACAGCAAGAUUCGCUUGAUCGAUUCGAAGCGCUUUGCCGCUAUACUAUUGGAAACGAGCGUAGUCGAGCUGCAGCGGCAUCUGCUGACGCUNACCGUGCAAAAUCAGGUAUUGAUGCAGAAGCUCGACUCGGCUACCAAGUCAAAAACACAUUUAGCCAAAAGACUGGACAAAUCAAAGGAUGAUGUAGAGGAUCUGCGUUUUCAGUUAGAGGAGAAGAAUAUCGAGUUGGAGGGCACUAAGGCGCAAUUGCGCGUGCUUGAGUCGCGCAUACACUCUGUCACGCCCAACAGUGGUGCGCCAACUAAUUCCUACUUACACUCUCAAAAUGAUUAUGAAACCAAUCGUUCAUCAGCUUCCACCACGCUGAUGUUGAGUCGGCGUGGCAUCGGCAGCGGCGCUAGUGAUACAUUACAUUAUAGCGACUUGCGUUCGGCAACACCAAUUUCAAACACCACCACUACAAUGCCAAUGACGACAACAACCGUCGGUCAAAUGCCCGCACCACAGGUUACGCAAAUAUCCACGCCCAGCAUGAAGGCCAUGAUUCACCUGCCGAUGGAUGAGCUGCAACAACAUAGUAGUAGCACCGAAUCGGCACAUGAUCAUGAGUUGCAAGAGAGUGGCGAUGCACAGGCGACGGCAAGCNGACUGAUGAGCGCCAGUGUCGGUGGCAUAAGUCCGUUUGACAGUGUGACGCGUGGUAAAAAAGUUNGUAUGGGCAGCAAGCCAAGCAAGAUACCUUUGCCGGGCAGCAAAGCAGCAGCCUAUUUUGCUGGCAAACCACCCACCGGACGUCCGUCUACGGCAGGUCGCUCACCACCUUCCACCCACACAUACGGCACCUCGAACUCGUCGAGCAAAUCGUCACUGUGUCGCAGUACCGGCAAUCUGUUAUACAGCAAAUCACCGAACAGUCUGAAACGUGCCGACUCCGCACAAAGUAUACGCAAAGACAACUCAUCGUUGAGCACCAAUACGAGUCGCAGCUCUACAUCUUCUUCCAUACCGUUGGCGACGCAUCACUUGUCAAAUGCUACCUCGAAGUCACCGAUUGGUGCAGUCGCCAACGCGACACCAACUCCGUCCCCGAGAGUGCUACAAAACUCUCCAUUACCGAAGCUAAAGCGUGAAUCGCUCACCUCACGUGUACGCCAUUUGGAUUCAUUGUCGCGUGUACAUCAGCAUAAUCAUAAUUCGAACGUCAGCAGUAACGGUGCGGGUGUUGGUGGUGGCAGUGAUAUCUCCUGCACAUCACCCACCAUGUCAGCCUAUACCACGGCGCACAACCACAACCACCAUAAUCACAACNAUUCGACGCUGCUAACGUCCACUUCGCCCACUGCGCUAUCCACCAGCUCGGCGAGUAGCUACAUUGUUAGCAGCACGCCAAAGCCCAGCGCCAUAGCAGCGCAUAUAAAUGCAACGCUNCGCAAGGACACACAAUUGAAUACAAGCAAUUAUGGUGCGCAACAAUUUCUGCGUCGCGCCACCGGNGGCAAUGCCGCUACCGCCGCCGCCACUAAUACAGCUGGCUCUGGUCAAAGUGUGGUGAAUAGCAGUGCGACUGCGCGCCGCUUUAGCAGCGCCUCGGUGGUGGGUGCACGCAUAGCGAGCCGCAGUCAAGCGCAAGAUGUUGGCAGUGGGGAGCACCAGCCGCAACAACAACAGCAGCCGCAACAACAACAGCAGCCGCAACAUCAGCAGAGCGAUAGCGAUAGUGGCAAGCUGAUGAUUGCAUGCAAACGACACGUUAUAAAACGGCCGAAUCGAAACAAACGAAUGCCACCCAAACAUAUGUAAAAUGCGAUGUAUGAGUAAAUAACGGAUUGUGGGUGGUCAUAUUGUACUAAAAAUAAAAAAAUNAAAACAAAAAACGCACACGUAAAUAAUAUAAAUGAAAAGUGUUAACAACAACAACACUGACUGAAAUUGGUGGUAACAGUAAGGCCACAUUGCAAGCUUGCCAGCCCGAAAGCGGCCAGAAAUUCAAAAUUGAGUACAUAAAACAGUUAAUUAUCAUUUAACCGAUUGCAUGCACCACAAAAACCUAACCAACUAGAAAUUGUAGUGAAAAUAAGAACAUACGAACAAACACACACGCUCAAGCAACUACGAAGCAGCGUGCGGAAAGCACAGCAGCAGGCUUGGAACUUGGAAUUGUGCCAAGCGGAAAUACGACGUGAGGGAUGUGUCAGCNACAGCAACAAUCAUAUUCGGCAAAAACACUGGAAGCUGAGCGCGUCACCACAAGCGUCUUAGGUGGCAGCAAACAGCAUGCUACGCGCAUUUGUUGUUGUUUUUUGUCCAUUUUGUUACGCACAAAAUGCAACUAAAACGCACAACAACAAAAUGCCAGUGCUGCCAGUCUUAAUCCUUCAUUGUGCCUCCUGUCUUCCUGUCAACUCUUAUACAACUCCUACAAAUACGUACUUGUACAACAACAAUAGCAACUACUCCAACGUUUUUGCUGCGUUUCAGCGAAAAUGUCUGUCGCCAUUCACUGUUCUACGAGCUGCUGCCAGCAUACAAACCGAAAGAGAGCACUGCCAGCGCCGCAACUGCCCAAAAUUGGCGACAAAAAC
rnacentral:misc_RNA from 1 species